rnacentral:misc_RNA from 1 species
GAUGAAGAACGUAGCGAAAUGCGAUAAUUAAUGUGAAUUGCAGAAUUCAGUGAAUCAUCGAAUCUUUGAACGCACAUUGCGCCCGCCAGUAUUCUGGCGGGCAUGCCUGUCUGAGCGUCAUUUCAACCCUCAUGCCCCUAGGGCGUGGUGUUGGGGAUCGGCCAAAGCCCGCGAGGGACGGCCGGCCCCUAAAUCUAGUGGCGGACCCGUCGUGGCCUCCUCUGCGAAGUAGUGAUAUUCCGCAUCGGAGAGCGACGAGCCCCUGCCGUUAAACCCCCAACUUUCCAAGGUUGACCUCAGAUCAGGUAGGAAUACCCGCUGAACUUAAGCAUAUCAAUAAGCGGAGGA